rnacentral:rRNA from 1 species
ACACUCCUACGGGAGGCAGCAGUGGGGAAUAUUGGACAAUGGGCGCAAGCCUGAUCCAGCCAUGCCGCGUGAGUGAUGAAGGCCCUAGGGUUGUAAAGCUCUUUUGUGCGGGAAGAUAAUGACGGUACCGCAAGAAUAAGCCCCGGCUAACUUCGUGCCAGCAGCCGCGGUAAUACGAAGGGGGCUAGCGUUGCUCGGAAUCACUGGGCGUAAAGGGUGCGUAGGCGGGUCUUUAAGUCAGGGGUGAAAUCCUGGAGCUCAACUCCAGAACUGCCUUUGAUACUGAAGAUCUUGAGUUCGGGAGAGGUGAGUGGAACUGCGAGUGUAGAGGUGAAAUUCGUAGAUAUUCGCAAGAACACCAGUGGCGAAGGCGGCUCACUGGCCCGAUACUGACGCUGAGGCACGAAAGCGUGGGGAGCAAACAGGAUUAGAUACCCCUGUAGUCCCAUGA